rfam:Salmo salar isolate Sally breed double haploid chromosome ssa19, whole genome shotgun sequence.
UCCCGUGUGGCUCAGUUGGUAGAGCAUGGUGUUUGCAACGCCAGGGUUGUGGGUUCGAUUCCCACGGGGGGAC